rnacentral:lncRNA from 1 species
GAAAUUUCCAACAUCAACCCAAAAAUUACUAGGAAAUCAAAUUGAAUUUAGAGCUUACAGUUUUGUACUUCCAGGGAAAAGUUCACAGAAAAUUCUCCAAAAUGUUUGGUACAGCAGGUUUUCCAGCUAAUACGUAAUGCAUCCUUAAGUACCCUGAGACAACUGGCAACAAGUGCGCGCCUCCAUUUGAAUGUGUGAUGUCAGACGGGUGGCUGCCACAGCGCUGUGAAGCGGUAAGAGCGAUUGGGCGCAUCCCAGCACUCCGUUAGUCCU